GAUGAACGCUGGCGGCGUGCUUAACACAUGCAAGUCGAACGGGAAACCUUUUAUUGAAGCUUCGGCAGGUUUAGCUGGUUUCUAGUGGCGGCCCGGGGAGUAACGCGUGGGUAACCUGCCUUAUACAGGGGGAUAACAACCAGAAAUGGUUGCUAAUACCGCAUAAGCGCACAGGACCGCAUGGUCCGGUGUGAAAAACUCCGGUGGUAUAAGAUGGACCCGCGUUGGAUUAGCUAGUUGGCAGGGUAACGGCCUACCAAGGCGACGAUCCAUAGCCUGCCUGAGAGAGUGAACGGCGACAUUGGGACUGAGACACGGCCCAGAAUCCUACGGGAGGCAGCAGUGGGGAAUAUUGCAAAGUGGCGGAAACCCUGAUGCAGCGACGACGGGUGAAGGAAGAAGUAUCUCGAUAUGUAAACUUCUAUCAGCAGGGAAGAUAGUGACGGUACCUGACGAAGAAGCCCCGGCUAACUACGUG
rnacentral:rRNA from 1 species